UGAGAGGAAAAUGGCGGCAGAAAGAAUGGCAGAAAAGGAGCACUAGCCCCCCUCUAGCAGGGCUCCAUGAAGAAAUGCAAUAUUCCUUGUUGUUUCAUGAAAAUUUACAACUUUGUGAUACAAGUUUAUGAGUGGCCGCGCGCAGGGAUUGGCCGACGGGCUGGUCAUGUGGACGCGCUUAACGUGAACAUGAACUUUUUAUGAUUUCCCAAGUGGCUAUAUUGCUGCUGCGAUCCGCUCCGGCCCGAGGAGCCCGCCUCUACUCCUCCUGGCUUCGGUGCUCGCGCUGUGGCGAGGCGGAUGAGCGUAGCCGGAAUAACCGGGGAGGAAAUUUACGCCCAGCUGUAAUAAAACGGACCAGUAAACGAGGAUACUAGUUGCUACCGAGGAAACCUGGACGCGGAAACAGUGACAAGAAGCUGCCCCCCUUCUCCCCCUCCUGCUCUUCCUCCGCCAUGGCUCCGAGCUCCCCGUCUGGUAUUUUCGUGCUGCUGAAUCGGCGGACUCUCGAUGAGGGCUGUCUCGUGUCAUUCCGGGCGCCCCGGCUGCCUGCGCGCGGGACGCCCAAGUAGUGAGCCGCGGGUGUGUGGGGGCUCGUGACGGAUGAUCGACAAACGAUCAGAGAACCUUGUGGUCCGAUCAGGCUCUGCGGUGAGCCUCCCAGAUGGAUGCGCUCUCCGAAGAACCAUCCACCGGAUAGACCUCGGAUGGUUUGGGAUCCGGAAGAUUAGUUAGUGUCUUGCUUUUUGUUGUUGUUUCAGCCCUAAGCCGUUCUCUGUGAACGGGGGGAGGUGAGAGGGAGGCUGCCUUUUGUGUGAGGGCAGGUGUGCUGGAUUUGUUUAAUCAUAAAUACCUAUUUUGAAAGGGAGAGCGUAGCCUGGUCCUUAUGCAUUCAUUAGCAUGCAUUAUAUUUCCUGUAAUUCUGGCUCUGCUUUUAAAUGCAUUUUUGUGCUAUUGGUGUAAGAGUUUGAAUUGUUUCACUCAAGGUUUCAGCCAAUUGACAGCCAGUGUGUGUGUUUGUCUGUGCGUGUGUUCACAGACACAGGAAUGUUUUUUUCUCGGUGGGUCCAGCCCACUUUUAUGACUUUGUUUCCUUUCUAAUUUCCUCCCGGCGGAUGGAGUGUGUUUUUUCUUCUUUCUUUAUUGUCUACACCUAACCAGCCGCCCAAUCACUUCCCCACCACCACCUCCAACCCACACUCAUAAACACAUCUGCAGGUCAGUCUCUGUCUGUGUUGUCUUUGGUCUUCAAUUGGUUGCUGUCUCAAAUAUCAAACACCUUCGGAAGUGUUUGAUAUUCGUAGUGAAUUCCUUUAUCACCUCUCCUCCUGCUCCAUGCGCACUAGCAGGCAGAUACAUCUGAAUUAUGAAUAAAUAACUUCUCAUUCUUUGGAUACAUUUAGAUUUGAUUAAAUACAUGCGUAGCAUGUUACUUCAUUUUUGGAAAUCAGCAUUUUGUUCUCUAUGGCUCUCCAUCUUCAUUGAGUCCAACCCUGCAGGAUUUAACUUAUUUAUUUAUUGUAUAAUUAAUUAAAUUACAAUGUUGGUUAUGCUCAUUUAUUUUAUUUAUUAUAUUUAAGUAUAUAUUUGCAAUUAUUGAAAUUGAAUUUUUAAUAUUAAACGUUUUAGGAACUUUGAAAUGAUUAAAACGGCACUUUUUGCGAGUAGCAACAACUUCUGUGACGAGUGUGUGUCGAUGUUUAAUACGAUAAGCUGCGGUUCCUUCCAUGUCUGUGAAAAGCGGCGCGCAGUUGUGCUUUUGUUUCGUGCCAUGGGAAGUACACAAAUUGAGGCAUUGCCAAUCUUUUUUCCUAUUUUAUUUUUUAUAGAAAGUCAUCCAUAAAAAACAUCCUACAAAAUAUACAUCUUAAUUUAAUAUUGUAUAUUCGCUGACCUCGCUCACGCUCGAAGCCUGCCGACAUGCGUACGCUGUAUUCACCGAAUUCCAAAGACACCUCAAAUUUUCAUUUCUGGACGUGUAGCCUUUUGUUGUGAGGAAAGUCUACAGGAACAUGAAAUCAACCCAGACGCUUCUGCACGUCUCUGGACCGAUAAAUAAAGUAAUCAACAGUUAUCGAUAAAGUACUGUGUUGUUAUGUGGCCUGCUACAUCUCACAAAAGCGUAUAUUUUUGACUCAGUAUUUUUCUCAUUCAGGGUUAAAACACAUCAUCAGAAAAUCUGAAAAGCUCGAUCCGUGACACUUUAUGUUCGGUACUUAUUUGAUACAAGUAUGGUUUAAGAAAUAUGUGUUCAUGAACGUCAAUUCCAUAACAUCUUUCAUUAGCGCAGCACAAACUUGUCUGCAACUUGUAUUUUAAAGAAAGGCUGGAGAAGGAACCAAGAGCCCGCUCGACUCGGACACACAAUUAUGCUUUUGAUAUCAGCUUAAAUGUACAUUGUAUUAAAACUUGAUUUGUAUAGUUUACGAGCAUAUUUUUUUCAAGAGGAUCUAUUUUGUGGUGGCAGUCCGCCUUAAUAAACACAGACGGGUCAUAUUUAAGUAUUUGUAAUUCAGCCCUUUACCUUGGCAUGUUGUUGCUUUUAUCUUCAUUCAUUAUUGUUACCAGUGUAAAUUACAGUGAUCUGAUAACUAUCUUUGUUCAAAAUAUAGUCUCUAUGUUGGCUAGAAUUCUGAUUUAACUGCACUAGUUACGGGGCCCAGAUCAAUUUCACGGCUUUAUCUUCAUAAAAAGUUAUCGGUCAUAUACACUCGCAGUGGCGGCUGGUCCAUAGAGGGCAAUGGGGCUCGGCCCCACCUUGAGCCACAAAAAAAAACAUCAUUUUUUUGACAUUUUACUAAUCGUCAAUAUGUGUCUAUUUGUGUUUUUGAAACAUAGAAUAUACCCAGUAAUAUUUGUAAUUUAAGAUAUCUCUGCAAAAUAUAUGAUUUUCCAGCCCGACCUCUCCGCAUGUCUCAGCUGGGUUGGCAAGGUCCCGAAGCGGCGGGUUUAAGAAGCAGUUAAACCAAUCACCGAUGAAAGUUAAUGAGUGACAGAUAAUUUCAGCGUCCUAAAAUACAUUUAGCUUUAGGCCCGCCCUUCGCCGCCCUACGCGCUGUCGCCAGGGCGAGUCUCGCGACGCCCUUUUAUCAACAUAACAAGAGCGACCACGGGCAGUGUUCUUCCAGGGAGACCCGAACCAAACUCCAAGACCCGUUUGAGAGAAGAACUUUGCCGAGAAUCUAGAGGUAAAACAGCUAGACCCAGAUCAGCCCGACUUCACAAUCAGACAACGGACUGCCGUUGGGGGAUAUGACGCUUCUGUAGAAGAGGUUUAGCAAACUAGUUAUAUAAUAUCCUGGAUAUUGUUUUAUAUGUAUAGUUAUAUGUAUUCAUUAAUAUUGUAUGAAUAAGAUGUCCUUAUUAUGUUAAACUGUUGGAAUACAUAUUAAAUAUUUAACUGCAAAGUAAUAAUGCGUGUUUGAUACAUUUUUGCAUUGAAUCAUGUUUACUGGCCCUAAUAACAAAAUCCAGCAGCCGCCACUGUACACUCGUGUACAUUUAUAUUCUUACAGAUGGACUCGCUUCACCUGACUAUGUAAUGAAAUGGGCAUAGUGGAAAUAAAAUAUGUAUAACUAAAGUUGGGGAGGAGGAGAGUAUAUAAACAAAAAAGCUAUGCUCACGUACACUCGUUAUGUCCAUAAAUCGCAGCAGCGGUAAACAUACAAUGUAGAUGAGGCCGCGGCGCGUGGCUGCAAGACGCUCUGCUGCCAUCUAGCGUCUCGUUGCCGAUAGUACCGAAUGUUCCCGAACACCCGAACCCUUCAUCCUCCUGGUCACGCGCACACAAGGCAGCAGUAGUUGCUAAAUGCUAUCUGUCGCACUUGCGUGAUGUGCUGUUGGCUACGUGCGUGUGUUGACGACCUGUUGACUUUUCUUUUUUAUGGUCCUCUUUGGAAUGAGAGCAGACAGGAUGAAGGACAGGGUGCGAAAGCAUGUGGGCGCGCUCCCUGCCUUUCGUGUGCGUGUGCGCAAUUCAAUAUUUUAUCUCGCUGACAGUGGGCUUCUCUCCUGUCUUUGGGAUCGACGCAGAGAGGCACAGACCCCCGCUCUCUGUUUCUCUACCAGGUUAGGCCUCGUUGAGCGAAUGAGCAGAAUCAGAAUAUAUAUAAUCAAUUAUACAAUGUAACUAUAUAUUCAAAAAUAUAUGUAUCUGUGAGUGUGUGUGUGUGUGUGUGUGUGUGUGUGUGUGUGUGUGUGUGUGUGUGUGUGUGUGUAUAAGUGUAGCACGCGUAUGCGCGCAGACGUCGUGCACAGGGAGGGAAACAGAAGCUUUCUUCUUCUUCUGAUCGGUCAGGGUCGCUGUUUCGAUCAACAAAGGAAACCAUAACAACUCGCCCUUGCUCUGAGAUUUCAUCGCCUUUUACUGGCUCCUAUAUCUACAAAUCUGCUGUGCAACCCUCUGUGUGUGCGUGUGAUCAUUUGAAAAACCCUGGUGGAGGGAAUUAAGGCUGGUGGGGGACAUAAUCCAAGGUGUUGCUUUUGAUUCACGACUCAGCCAUUCACCUGUGUGUACGCGAUUUAAAUAUGUUACCAUGUUCAUACAAUAUAAGUUACAUUGGUAAUAUUAUUGGUGAUUCAGAAAUGCUGCUCAGAGUUACCCGUUCAUUCAUUUAUAAUGUGGACAAUAAACCUAUAGCCAGUAGCCCCUUUUAAAUCCUAUUUAAAACUACAAUAACACAAGAUGUUGUGUAGAAUUCAGAUAAUAAGUAGGUGUGUGCGAUGGUCUGCACCUGCACGUGCGCGUGCUCCUUAUUUAGCACAAUUUUAAAGAGCCCAAUAAGCAGCCCUCGUAACACUGCAUCCAUGCGUCCGUUAUUCUUUAACUCGUCCCCCGGCCCCUCGGCGUGGCUGGGGGGGCUUGCGUCCACCGGUAACAGUCCGGUGAGCUGACCCAGAGCACGAGCUCACGGCGCCGUGAAGGACGCAGCCAGCCGGCUUGCGCUACUCUGAAAGGAACUUGGGAAACACACACGCGCACACAAAAAGCACAAGUGAAGCAGUUUACCUCGGUUUGUUAUUAACGGGAGGUUGGUCAGCGAGCGAAUAAACACGCACAUAAAAUGCGCACUGUUUCUUAUCCAACAUUAUAAACUAAAACCACACAGGCAUCGAGAUGAAGUAAAACUACUUUGUUUUAAAGCAUACCAUAAAUAUUAUAUUACUAAUUUCUCUCUUAACGUUAAUCCAGCUGCCAACGUAGAACCUAUUUGAGAAAUAUUUAAACUUGAAAGUAUAAUUAUGCAAUAAAAACAAACUGCCAUCACCUGCUAAUGAAUGUCUGACCAUCUUUUCAUUUUACGUCAUUGUUAAAUUGGAGUUACCCCACGUAAAUAGCAACGAAUGAGAUAUAGAAUAAUAGUAUGCGUUUUUGAAUAAAAUAUCACAUUAGAAUAAACACAUCGUUCUACUUUGCUUGAAAUAUAAAUCUCAUCAUAUAUAAAAUUAGAUACAUAUAGAGUGUUAGUCCAUUAAAUAAAUUGCGAUGUUUAAAUUUCAUAGUUAAUCAUUGUGAAUUGCCGGCGCUUUGAGCCGUAUCGCGGCUGAAAUGUGCCGCAGAUUAACUGUACAGCUCGUGGGUACGUGUGCGUUUUUGUGAAAGCGCGUUCCUUGUGUGCAGCACAGCACAUGUGUUCAUCUGCUGCUUCGGGCCUGUUUUUCAGUUCGUCGCGAUCCCUCGGACUUUACAAGGAGUCAUAAACGGCCAUAAAAUUCUCUCUCACACACACACACACACACACACACACACACACACACACACACACACACACACACACACACACACACACACACACAUAUAAACACACACGCCCGAAGCCAUGAAGCCAUAAAGCAUCCGUCUGACUUCUUCUGGUUUAAUUGUCGAUAACCUCUGAAGUUUCUCGGAUUCAUGGAGUUCCUACAGCUCUGAACUGUUUCCAUCCCGGUGGCUGCGGCCGCUCCACCGGGUUGCAGUGGAUUCACGGGAUUCAUGGCGCCUCUCAUUAAGUAAAACAUGUUAUGCAACUAAAUUAAAACAAACGGAAAACUGAAAAAACCUGUUAUAAUAAUUUAUAUAAUAAUUUAAAUGAAUAUAUUUAUCAAAGUUAUUAUUGGCAUUAACAUCAAUAACGUUAUAAAAAUAAUCCAAACUCUAAAGCUUCUAAAAAAUGUUAUUGUUGUAUUAGUAUUUGUAUUUUCCUGACUUUUGGUUGUUAUAAUUCCUGUUAGCAGUAAAGUAUUAGUAGCACUAGUAGGAUGAGUUGCCUAUCACUAAUUAUUUGAAUUAUCAUAUUUCACCUCAAAAUGUAAAGUGCUGCUCAUUUGGCGCUGUCCCAAACUGUCGGCCGCACACCUGCAACGACCGUCAUUACAGGUAACCCUGGCAGACUAGCGCGUGAGCUUGGCUACGGAGUCAAAGUGUGAAGGCAGCCGGUCACGUGACAUGGCAGCACAAAAUAUCUCACAUUGCUGCCCUAAAGUUGCAGUAGGCCUCAUUCACAUUAUCCUGAGCCGCUGCUGUUGAGGGUUGAGCUAACGUUUAGCUUUUGUAAUUGGUCCGUACGCCUGGGCGGACUCACGGAACACGUUAAAAGACGCUAUAAUAGCGAGCGUGGCAAAACAGCUUAAUUCUGGUAUUAAGGUGAAUUUUUCUGUCACCUAUUGUUUUUAAACAUGUAUUAUGAAACAGCAUAUAACUUUAGAUUUAACCUAGAAAACAUUGUUUUUCGACAGACUUCGUUGCACAUCUCAGAAAGUCAUAUUUGACCUGCGGGCUUCCGUACCUUUAAUUGUUUCUCCUCUUUAUUAUACCAAAGAAAUAUACUUCAAAAUUGUGUUAAUGGAUAUGGGUUGGGUGUGUAAUAAUAGCAUUGCCGUCCCGUGUGUGCGCCAGGCUGAAGCCGCGUCUGUCCUGCCCCGACUGUUAGUGCUCAUUAAUGAUUAAACCACCGUCAGCCUCAAACACAAUGCUGCUGCUUCCCGUUCCCACAAAGCGGAGAGGAAGCGGAGCGUCCUGCCUGCGGAGAGAGAGAGAGAGGGAGAGAGAGAGGGGGAGAGAGAGGGAGGGGGAGAGAGGGAGAAGGGGAGAGAGAGGUCAAAAGGAGAGUUAAAAAGCGAGAUUCUACCCGAUAUUCUCCCCAACUGUCGUGUGUGAUCCUUCACAGAAAGCGAGCGUUGAGGAUUCAACGUAUUGUCUGUCUCACUGCUCCGAACAGUGUUCCCUUAAAACAAGGAGAGCGAGCGAGAGAGGGGAGGAAUAGAUGGGGCGGGAGGGCGAAGUAAGAGUAAAAAUAGAGUCUUUGUCUCUAUUUGUCAGUGGGGCUGUCUGCUGUUUGGCCAUGUAGACAAGUCAGAGCCUGUAGGGGAAACACAGAGAGAGGGAGAUUUAUUUAUGGCUGCGGUCAUUUUACGACCUCAGCGACACAUAUUCCGUUUGUAAGUGCGAAUGAAAAAUAGGCCGGCUCGAGCUUUUCGGCUGUUGUUGUUUCUAAACGCUUUCUUCCUUGUCUUUCACUCGGUCCCUUUUCUAUAGUGCUCCCAAGUAAAAGGUAAAACACAACUGUAUUUUGGCUAGAUUGAUUUAAAGCACAAAGUAGCAUAGUGCUGAAUUUGUGUGUAUGCGUCUGUGUGGGGGUAAUGUUUCUGGUCAUGUAUUACUUAUUACCCUGCUUUUCGCUCUUAAAAAACUCUGUGAUAGCUAAACGAAUGUCAUAACACGUUUGUGACAUAUAUGCUUUAGGAAAAAUGGUCGUAUAGACGCAGUUUGGGCAAUUGUAUUGGAGUGCAUCCUAAUAUGUGCUGGUUAUAAUGACCAAUUGUUAUAUUAAAUUAUUUGGACUAAUUUAUAUAAUCUAUAUUUUUUAUUUAUCGGUGAUGCUGGCUCCAUGUGUUUUUUUUUUCUUUUAUAUCCGCUCGUAUCUCUAUGCAAUUGCCAUAAUAUUAUGACUCGAGGCCAUGUCCUAAAUGUAAUUAUGUAUUUCAGAAUUUUAAAUUAUAUUUUCAAUACGGCGGUACGUUAUAAUAUAUGGCACCCCUUAAGGUUGUAGCCAUAUUUUAGACGCAUUGUAUGAAUAUAUUUCACAUGUACAUGGCCCCAUGGAAAGAGUCAGCUGCAAGUCUCUAAUCAGUGUCAAGAGAACGGGGAAAAAUGUAGAAAGUUUGGGACUGUUUUCUGUCUUCCGCUCCGUUUAACAUUGUCAGCUCUAAUCAGUGUCACAUAAGAAGACAAAUAAUAAUUGAUGGCGCGCGCUGAUCAAACCGCAACCUGCUCCUGCGGAACACAACUGGGACACUUUGGUUUUAAUUAUCUACAGACACCGCAGCUUGGAACCAACGCGGCGUGUGACCCUAACGGCGGAGCGCGAGGCAGAAGGCCUCAUCCAGGUCCUCUCCCGUCAAUAAAACAUCGAGCCAUCAGAAUUUGCUCAGAAAGUCCCUUUUAGUGUCAAUUAUUAUGAACGUCUAUUCUACACAGAAGAAGUGCGAUGAAAAGGCCCCCGUACAAGAGAGGACCCACGCCCACGCACACGCACACACACACACACACACACACACACACACACACACACACACACACACACACUGACCGGAGUGGGAAGCUCAAAUCCACCCACCAAACAAAAAAUACCAAUUACAAAAGUACAAACCCCUCAAUUAGACUUGGAUAGCACAUAUUAUGUUGUAGGAUAACUCACAUGCACGCGUAAUGCGUGUGGAUCCGCACACACACCCUGACGCAGGGUGUAGUGCAUGUGGCUCAAGGCUUUGAAUUAGCUAAAAUUAUUUAAAUACGGUCGGUAUUAUCUUCAAAGCGCCGGUAAUGUGUGUUAUUGUUCGGUUGCCUCCGGUGGUGGUGCAGUCGCCUCGGUGGGAGGGCUGCGCGUGAACGUGCCAUUCCUUUUUUAUGGGUCCACAACAGAAGGAGACGGACACGCGGGGCAAGAAAAACAUAAUUUAACGCACCGAGGAUUCCGGUGUGAUUUUGCAAUCGCACUGUGAACCGGAGGGGGAGAUUAAAAGAAGGGAAUGAGAAUUAGAAAGAGAACGAGGGAGACAAAUAGUAAAGAGGAGGUGAUGCCCCACCCCCCCCCCACAACCCCCCCACCCCUUCUUCUCUGCAACGACAGGAAAAUGGGCGAACGAAUGGCAGGCACGGAUGCCUCCCAUUGGUCAGUCGGAGGUCAGCUGCUCUUUUCCUCUCUCCUUUACACCCCUCCUCACCCCACUUCGUUGUCCCCACACAAACGCACGCACGCGCGCGCACACACACACAGACCCCCCCCCCCCCCCCUCCCUCCCUCUCUCGCUGUCUCUCUUUCUUC
ensembl:lncRNA